rnacentral:rRNA from 1 species
AGUGAACGCUGGCGGUAGGCCUAACACAUGCAAGUCGAACGGCAGCACAGUAAGAGCUUGCUCUUACGGGUGGCGAGUGGCGGACGGGUGAGGAAUACAUCGGAAUCUACUUUUUCGUGGGGGAUAACGUAGGGAAACUCACGCUAAUACCGCAUACGACCUACGGGUGAAAGCAGGGGAUCUUCGGACCUUGCGCGAUUGAAUGAGCCGAUGUCGGAUUAGCUAGUUGGCGGGGUAAAGGCCCACCAAGGCGACGAUCCGUAGCUGGUCUGAGAGGAUGAUCAGCCACACUGGAGCUGGGACACGGUCCAGACUCCUACGGGAGGCAGCAGUGGGGAAUAUUGGACAAUGGGCGCAAGCCUGAUCCAGCCAUACCGCGUGGGUGAAGGAGGCCUUCGGGUUGUAAAGCCCUUUUGUUGGGAAAGAAAAGCAGCAGGUUAAUACCCCGCUGUUCUGACGGUACCCAAAGAAUAAGCACCGGCUAACUUCGUG